rnacentral:rRNA from 1 species
UACGAAGGGUGCAAGCGUUACUCGGAAUUACUGGGCGUAAAGCGUGCGUAGGUGGUUUGUUAAGUCUGUUGUGAAAGCCCCGGGCUCAACCUGGGAAUGGCAAUGGAUACUGGCAAGCUAGAGUGCGGUAGAGGGUAGUGGAAUUCCCGGUGUAGCGGUGAAAUGCGUAGAGAUCGGGAGGAACACCAGUGGCGAAGGCGGCUACCUGGACCAGCACUGACACUGAGGCACGAAAGCGUGAGGAGCAAACAGG